rnacentral:rRNA from 1 species
UACGUAGGGGGCUAGCGUUGUCCGGAAUCAUUGGGCGUAAAGCGCGUGUAGGCGGUCCGGUAAGUCCGCUGUGAAAGUCGGGGGCUCAACCCUCGGAUGCCGGUGGAUACUGUCGGGCUUGAGUACGGAAGAGGCGAGUGGAAUUCCUGGUGUAGCGGUGAAAUGCGCAGAUAUCAGGAGGAAUACCAAUUGCGAAGGCAGCUCGCUGGGACGUUACUGACGCUGAGACGCGAAAGCGUGGGGAGCAAACAGG